rnacentral:rRNA from 1 species
GACGAACGCUGGCGGCGUGCUUAACACAUGCAAGUCGAACGAUGAAGAAGAGAAGCGCGAACUUCGGUUCAAAUUUCACUUCGGAUUAGUGGCAGACGGGUGAGUAACGCGUGAGCAACCUACCUCUUACAAAGGGAUAGCCUCGGGAAACCGUGAUUAAUACCAUAUGACACAUUCAUAAGGCAUCUUAAGAAUGUUAAAGCUACGGCGGUAAGAGAUGGGCUCGCGUCCCAUUAGCUAGUUGGUGAGGUAACGGCCCACCAAGGCGGCGAUGGGUAACCGGCCUGAGAGGGUGAACGGUCACAUUGGAACUGAGACACGGUCCAAACUCCUACGGGAGGCAGCAGUGGGGAAUAUUGCACAAUGGAGGGAACUCUGAUGCAGCGACGCCGCGUGAGCGAUGAAGGAAUUCGUUUCGUAAAGCUCUGUUCUAUGGGAAGAAAAGGACUGUACCAUAGGAGAAAGCCCCGGCUAAAUACGUG